UACGAAGGUGGCAAGCGUUGUUCGGAUUUACUGGGCGUAAAGGGCGCGUAGGCGGUUGGCUAAGUCCUCCGUGAAAUCUCCAGGCUUAACCUGGAAAGUGCAGAGGGGACUGGUCAGCUAGAGGAUGGGAGAGGAGCGCGGAAUUCCCGGUGUAGCGGUGAAAUGCGUAGAUAUCGGAAGGAACACCAGUGGCGAAAGCGGCUUCCUGGACCAGCACCGACGUUCAGGCACGAAAGCGUGGGGAGCAAACAGG
rnacentral:rRNA from 1 species